UACGUAGGGUGCAAGCGUUAAUCGGAAUUACUGGGCGUAAAGCGUGCGCAGGCGGUCGUGCAAGACAGAUGUGAAAUCCUCGGGCUCAACCUGGGAACUGCAUUUGUGACUGCGCGGCUGGAGUGCGGCAGAGGGGGAUGGAAUUCCGCGUGUAGCAGUGAAAUGCGUAGAUAUGCGGAGGAACACCGAUGGCGAAGGCAAUCCCCUGGGCCUGUACUGACGCUCAUGCACGAAAGCGUGGGGAG
rnacentral:rRNA from 1 species